rnacentral:rRNA from 1 species
AAUGAACGCUGGCGGCGCGCCUAAUACAUGCAAGUCGAGCGAGAAGACGUAGCAAUACGUUUGUAAAGCGGCGAACGGGUGAGGAAUACAUGGGUAACCUACCCUAGAGUGGGGAAUAACUAGCCGAAAGGUUAGCUAAUACCGCGUACGCUCCUUGGACUUCGGUUCAGGGAGGAAAGCGAUGCCGAGGGUAUCGCGCUCUUGGAUGGGCUCAUGUCCUAUCAGCUUGUUGGGAGGUAACGGCUCACCAAGGCUUCGACGGGUAGCUGGUCUGAGAGGACGAUCAGCCACACUGGCACUGCGACACGGGCCAGACUCCUACGGGAGGCAGCAGUAAGGAAUAUUGCGCAAUGGGCGAAAGCCUGACGCAGCGACGCCG